ACGGAAGGCAGCAGUGAGGAAUAUUGGACAAUGGGGGCAACCCUGAUCCAGCCAAACCGCGUGAGGGAUGAGGGUUCUACGGAUCGUAAACCCCUUUUAUGUGGGAAUAAUUGCCGGUAUGUAUACUGGUUUGAAGGUACCACUUGAAUAAGCAUCGGCUAACUCCGUGCCAGCAGCCGCGGUAAUACGGAGGAUGCAGGCGUUAUCCGGAUUUAUUAGGUUUAAAGGGUGCGCAGGCGGGACAUUAAGUCGGCGGUGAAAUACCGUGGCCCAACCACGGGGCUGCCGUCGAUACUGAUGACCUAGAGUGCGUGUGACGUAGGCGGAAUGUGACGUGUAGCGGUGAAAUGCUUAGAUAUGUCACAGAACACCGAUUGCGAAGGCAGCCUACGAAUGCGUAACUGACGCUCAUGCACGAAAGCGCGGGUAGCGAACAGGAUUAGAUACCCUGGUA
rnacentral:rRNA from 1 species